GUUUGUACCUGGUGCCAUGUAGCCGUAGGAGCCGGCGAUGCUGUCGCAGGUGGAGCGGCCGGGGACGAGGAACCUCGCCGUGCCGAAGUCCGACACCCGCGGCUCGUAGUCCGGGUCGAGGAGGACGUUGUUGACGGAGACGUCGCGGUGGAUCAUCGGCGGCGAGCAGUCGUGGUGGAGGCGAGCGCGUGCGCGACGCCCCUGAUCGCCCUCAUCCUCGCCGGCCAGUCGAACCUGCAGCCGCCGCUGCCGUACAGCACCGCGCCGAGGCUGCCCCGCUCGGCGAGCUCGUACACGAGGUACAUGUACCCGCCCAUGGCGCAGAAGCCGUGGAGCUUGACGAUGUUGCGGUGGUGGACCCGCGUCAGCGCCCUCACCUCGUUCUCGAAGCUCCUCUCGCUGACGCCCCAGCACGCGUCGCCGGUCUCCGACGCGUCGAGCCGCUUCACGGCGACGGCGCGCCCGCCGCCGAGGUCGGCGCGGUACACGGUCCCGAAGCUCCCCUUGCCGAUGCAGUACGCGUCGUUGAAGUGCUCCGUCGCUGCCAGGAUGUCGCCGAAGGAGAACGUCGUGUCCUUGCUCCAUAUCGAGGCCUGCACCGCCGCCGCCGUCGAGCUCCCGCCGCCUCCGCUCGCCGACGUCUCCGCCUUCUCUACGACGACGGCGGCUCGCCUCGCCUUGCGUGACACCUCGCAAACCACGGCCACCAUGGACACCAGCAGCGCGGCGGCGACGGAGAGCGUGACGGCGAGCACCAGCCUCGUCUUACCGGAGUGGCCGUCGCCGGUGGUGGUGUUCGAGCUGCAAGAGUUCAGCCCGGCAAUGUCGUGGCCGCACAGGCCGGGGUUGCCGCUGAGAUCCAGCGUCGUCAGCGACCUCAUCUUGCCGAGCAGGGGCGGCACCUCGCCGGAGAGGUUGUUGCUGCUCAGGUUGAGGUACCACAUCUCGGCCAGCUUCGUCAGCUCCACCGGCACGCCGCCGUCGAGCGCGUUCCCGGACAGGUCGGGGUGCGACGCGAGGAUCUCCGACACGUCGCCGGCGAGCUUGUUCCGUGCCAUCCGGAGGCGCACAAGGUUGCACGCCGGCACGGUGCCGGAGAAUUGGUUGUCGUCGAGGCCGAGCCACCGGAGCCGCGGCGCGCUCGCGCACACGCCACGAGGCAGCUCGCCGGAGAAGCGGUUGUUCGCCAUGCUGACGAUGGAGAGCUGGCCGUUCCGGCCGAACUCCGGCGGGAUGGCCCCGGAGAGGAGGUUGUCGAAGGCGACGAGGCCGACGAGCCUCGGCAGCCGCGCGAGCCCCGCCGGGAGCUCGCCCUCCAGCAUGUUGCUGCUUACGGACAGCCUCUGCAGCGCCGCCAUGUCGCCGAGCUCGUCGGGGAGCCGGCCGGUGAGCUUGUUGGUGUACAGCCGCAGCGUCUCGAGGCUCGUGAGGUUGCCGAUCGUGCGGGGGAUCGCACCGGCGAGCUUGUUCUCGGCGAGGUCGAGGAGCUUGAGGUUGGCGAGCGUUCCGAUCACCGGCGGGAUCGCGCCGGAGAGGUUGUUGGUCGCCAAGGAGAGGAACUCCAGCCUCGACGCCAUGGCGAUCGCCGUGGGGAUCUCGCCGGUGAACCGGUUGCCGUCCGCCUGGAACACCUCGAGGUUGGUCCAGGCGGUGAAGUAG
rnacentral:lncRNA from 1 species